AACUUUCAGCAACGGAUCUCUUGGUUCUGGCAUCGAUGAAGAACGCAGCGAAAUGCGAUAAGUAAUGCGAAUUGCAGAAUUCCAGUGAGUCAUCGAAUCUUUGAACGCACAUUGCGCCCUUUGGUAUUCCGAAGGGCAUGCCUGUUCGAGCGUCAUUAUCACCCCUCAAGCCCCUGGCUUGGUGUUGGACGGUUUGGUGGAGGUCCCCUCGGGGGCUCCUGCCCCUCCCAAAGACAAUGACGGCGGCCUCGUUGGACCCCCGGUACACUGAGUUCUUCACGGGACACGUAUCGGACACAUGGGUUUACGGGACACGGUCUGCCUCCCCUCAGGGAGAAUCUUUCUAAGGUUGACCUCGGAUCAGGUAGGGAUACCCGCUGAACUUAAGCAUAUCAAUAAGCGGAGGCU
rnacentral:misc_RNA from 1 species